rnacentral:rRNA from 1 species
UACGUAGGGUGCGAGCGUUGUCCGGCAUUAUUGGGCGUAAAGGGCUCGUAGGCGGUCUGUUGAGUCGGGAGUGAAAACUCAGGGCUUAACCCUGAGCCUGCUUCUGAUACGGGCGGACUAGAGGUAUGCAGGGGAGAACGGAAUUCCUGGUGUAGCGGUGAAAUGCGCAGAUAUCAGGAGGAACACCGGUGGCGAAGGCGGUUCUCUGGGCAUUACCUGACGCUGAGGAGCGAAAGCGUGGGGAGCGAACAGG